GGGCAUUUCGUCUUGUGGUAUGAUUCUUGAUUAGGGUGCAAUAGGUCCCGAGAUCAAUUCUCGGAAUGCCCCCCA
rnacentral:tRNA from 1 species